GGUUAGAGUCAUUCUCCAAAAACUUGCAAGACCUGAUCAUCUUCACUUUAAGUGGAAAGACUGACCUGUGACAAAGUGCGCUCCCUCCUGUGUGAUAUCCAUACCAUUUACUGACCCAGACAAGGCACCUUCCAACUCUCGGAUGACUGACCCAUCAAAUACUUCCCAAGCUGAUUUGAAUGUGUGGGUGUGGAACCCGCAGAUAUGGAAAGCCUGCUGUGCUCACCUUUCUGUCUGCCCCACUAGUGAUGAUCUGGAACUCUUCGGGGUGAUAACAAACACAUUGGAAUAAGGUGUUGGCCAGGAUCAUCUGAUUCCUCUUAAG